UACAGAGGGUGCAAGCGUUGUUCGGAAUUACUGGGCGUAAAGCGCGUGUAGGCGGCUUAUUAAGUCGAACGUGAAAUCCCUUGGCUCAACCAAGGAACUGCGUCCGAUACUGGCAAGCUAGAGUGUCGGAGGGGGUGGCGGAAUUCCCGGUGUAGAGGUGAAAUUCGUAGAUAUCGGGAGGAACACCUGUGGCGAAGGCGGCCACCUGGAAGACAACUGACGCUGAGACGCGAAAGCGUGGGGAGCAAACAGG
rnacentral:rRNA from 1 species